GACCUUUCAAAUAUCACAAGGUCAAGGUCAUUGUAUACUGUGAAGAUCAAGGUGAAAUUUCAUCAUGACCUGACAUUCACCUUAAAUUGAAAGUCUUGAAUUACUGAUCAUCUUUGCAGUUUAUAGUAGGUUGAUAUCUGUUACCUUUAAAAAGAUAUACACACAAUACUAUACUUUUAAGAAUCAUCCCGUUGUAUUUUUUGAACAGACGGUCGGACAUUUUUGGGCUUAUUGUAAAAGAUGUAGAGCUCGUCGAGAGAAACAAUUUAUACGCUGUAUGUAUGCAGCAAAGUCUUAUCGUUUUCCUAAUAUGUAAGCUUGAAAUUGCAGCGUAAUUUUUUUUUUUUGCACUCGGUGACCUUUGACCUUGGGUGCAUAUUAAGAGUCACAUGAAUUAAAGAUUAUUGGUAAAGGUUCCAAGUCUCCUUGACUUCUGGUUCUCGAAAUAGAAUUUUUCAUAAAUUAUUGAUAAUUUUUAAAGGGAAAUAACUCCUUAUAAGGCUAGUAACAAUUUAAUUGUUUAUGUUUAUAAACAUUGCCAUCUGUUCUUGUACAUGCUACCAUUUUCAAAUCGAUUCUAUCUCUAAUACUUUUAAAGAAAAAUGCAAAUAAAAGAAAUCGCUUCCAUGGGACAUAACUCUCAGAGGGGAUGAUGAAAUCUUACGCAGCCUCAUAUGGUAAUACAUCAUGAUGAGAUCUACCUAUUGUCCAGUUAGGUCAUGAUAUCUUUAAAAACACCGAGGGGGGGAGGGGCGUGUCGAAAAGACAUAAAUAUCACUACAAGGAGCACUUUUGGAUUUUGAAAGACUUGAGGUUUAAUACUAAAUGUAUAAAGCAGCUUUUAAUGCCUGUGUAGUUUCACAGAAUGAUAGCACAUUAUGUAUACCAGUUUCUAUUAAUAAACAGUGAUCACUUAUUCGAAAUUUACAAAUUAGUUGUCUAUAUUCAAAAUUUUGAGAAAGUAGGUAUGGUUCAAAGUUAUAGCUUUUCUUUAUUUUUUUAAAAAGUUGGAGUUUGCUAUUCUCUUGAAAAUUUAAUAUUUUAUCAUUAUAUAAAUUUUGAUAGGAGUUUUCUAAAUUUUGUUUGUAUAUUAGCCUAUUAUAUUUAUCCUUAUUUUGGUUAACAAUUUCUAAAUCAUUUUGACUUCUGACAUGAUUUACAUAUGAGUACCAAGAAUAAAUACCUGUAUUAUGUAAAGUUUUUGCCAAAUUUAGUGUCUCUUUUAGUAAGGGGCUAGUUUCUUCCCUUAAUAGUCUAUCAUGAAAAAGAAGAGUUUGUCUUUUUAUAAAGCAAUCAAUAGGGUAGCUGCCUAAUUUAGAUCGAGCAGCUAUAUUACAAGAGCAUUUUUUUUACUCCUAAAGUUAACUUAUUAAAUUUAUUUAGUACUUUAUCAGGUGGACUUAUGUCAAUGAAAUUAAGAGUAUCUACUUUUUUAUUAUUUUUAUCCGCUUUAAUUGAAGCUUUAUAAAAGGAUGAGUAUGCAUCCAUAUACCAUAUUUCACUGUUAUAAGUUAAUAUUGGUCUAACGAGUGAGUUAAAUAAAUGGUUUGACAAAUUUACAGGAGUCUGUUGAAUCGAAUUACAAUAUGCUUUUAUAGAAUACAUUACUUUCAUAGAUUUUUUGGCUAAUUCUUGUGCUGAAUGAAUAAGAUUUCCAUUGUGACUAAUGAUAUUACCAAGAAAUUUAAACUUUUGCAUUUGCUCUAAUUUGUGACCAUUAUAAUUAAAAGAAUGGUUAAGAUUUUUUCUAUUGUUACUUGUGCUUAAAAUCACAGUUUUAGUUUUUUUACAAUUUACAUUUAACUGCCAUUUAUGACAGUAUUGAGACAAAUGGUUUAAACUUAACUAAAGACCCUCUUUAGUUUCAGACAUUAUGAAAAUAUCAUCAGCAAAUAGGAGGCUUCCAAUAUUUGUCUGUUCUAUUUUAAAGGGAUAACAGUCAUCUUGUUUGAAAAUUUGAGGUAGAUCAUUUAUGAAAAUAUUGAAUAGGGUGGAACUUAAAGAAUCCCCUUAUCGUACCCCUCUAGUUACUUCAAACCAGUUAGUGAGUUUAUCAUUAAUCUUAAUUGAAGAUUUUGUGGUUGAAUACAUAUUUUUUAUUACUUGAUACAUUUUACUGCCAAUACCCUGAGACAAAAUUUUAUAUAAUAAAGCUGUUCUCCAAAUGGAGUCAAAUGCUUUACGUAAGUCAACAAAACAAAUAUAUAAUGGUUUCUGUUUUAAAUUUAAAUAUUUAUUAUAUGAACAAUAAGCAACCCAUAGAUAAAUAAAUAAGACAGCCCUACUUUUACAUAUAUUUGCUGUUUUUUUUUUCAUUGGUAUAUAUUUCAUUGUAUUGCAUGAAAUGGCUGAUGCUUACUUUCACUUUUCUUAAAAUCAUUAUUGAGAAUGAAGAAAAAAAAUAUGUUAGGUAUAUGUCACCAAGACAGCAAGAAAUGUGUCUUCUGGUCAAAUGUGACUCAAUAAAACAAGUGUAUUUUACUCUACAAACUUUGAAAAGUAUUUGUUUAUUUUUUUUUCAGAGAAAAAACGCACCAUCUAUCUGAAGUUCAAAUUGACGUUGUUGAUUCAAAUAAUUGCAGAAUUCUCUUUCCCAAAUUUAACUUAUCGUUAACAUAUUACCUUAUUAAAUCUUGAUAAAACCUUAUAAAUAUCUCCUUUUUAAGCAAUCUUUAAAUUCAUUCCAUUAUUUUUUAUUAUGAAAGAACAGCAACAUAAUUAAUGUUACUCAAAUUCCUGUCAAAAUUUAUAGACAAUGCAUUUCAGUCUUCUUAAUAACAAACCUCUUUUGAUUAUACCCUUGUUUAUUGCAAUCAUGAUUUGAAGAAAAGUGAAAGAAGCUACAGCCAUUUUAUGCAAUACCUUAUCUCAGUAUCAGAAUCUAUGACAAACGAGACGGUUUUAAUUUCGAAAAUAUUUAUCCCCCACCUUAGUAGCAAUAUACCAACUUCACCUGCAUAUAGGAUAUACAUUUCCCAACUUAUUUGAUAUUCAAGAGCUUGCAACACCUACUCAGACUUUGCGGUGAAAGGUCACCAGUAUCUGAUCAGAGAGUUGAUGAAUGGUACUAGUAUGGUUUUUUUUAAAGUUCAUCGGAGGUACCAAUACCUUGUUGAUAAAUAGUCUGUCUUAACUUCACAAAUAAUAAACGAUGGUCUUGAAGUAUAGAUUCAGCGUACUGACGAUGUUUAUCAUCUAAUCAUGUGUCUGUCACGGUACGGAUUCGGUCCUAGUACAUUAAAAUCUUUCAAUCCUUUAUGGGUGGACUUUACAUGGAAAAAAAAUCGUAAAAAAAAAAGAAGCAAAAUGAGGUUGUUAAAGGAUAAAGUUUGGUAAGGGCCAUAUUUGGCCCCGAUUAUAAAGUUCAAUUUAACAAGAUGAAAAAUGUUUAAGUUGACUUUCAGACAUGUGAGAAAGUUCAAUAGAAAUAUUGUUGUCAAAGUUCUAUUCUAUAGUUGAUUUUUACAUACCAUCAUAGUUCAAGUUAAGAGAUUUUGGCAAAAUUUUACAAAGUCGACCAAAUUUCAACCAAAUAUAGGACCAGGAAGCGGAAACACGGAGCACAGGCGUCGACAAACUAAAUAUUCAUGGUAGACAUGUAAAAUGUCUUUAUAAACAUUAUUUUAACAGAUCUUUGUUGUCGACGUAUGCGCUCUAUGUUUCCUUCCAAUAAUCGAUGGAAAUUUACACAUUUUCAUUGACUUUAUCGUGGAAAAUCUAAGAUAUUAUAAAGUACUAUUUGUUAAAAAACAAGUAUUUAAAAGAAUAUCAAGUAUGUCCAAAUGACUUAAAGAGAGAAAACGGACCAGUUUUGCCCUCAGUGUUAAAGGUUUUUUUUUAAAUCUCAGAAAGGUUCAAAAAUAUGUAUAAUAUUUUGAAUGGUAAAAAGUCAAAUCCUAAACAAAAAUGUGAACAAAAAUGGUCAUUAAUUCUCAAUGCAAAUUUCAAUUGGAAAAAUAUCCAUGAAUUGCCCUUUUAUAUAACAAAAAAUUCAAAAUUGCAGUGGUUUCAAUAAAGAAUAAUACAUCGAAUCUUAGGCACGAAUAAACUUCUCCUUAAAAUAAAAAUUAAAGAUACAAAUAUUUGUAGUUUUGGGUGCGGCGGGGUUGAAACAAUAGAACAUAUAUUCUGGACGUGUCCAUAUAUAUUUAAACUAUGGGAAGACCUUAACUCCUGGAUAUUUGAGAAGACAGAAAUAGAACUAACUUUAAAUAUUGAUUUGGUUUUAUUUGGUAUUAUAACAAAAACAGAUAAAAAUGAUAUAAGAAACUUAAUACUUCUGUUAACACAAUUCUACAUUUAUAGAGGCAAACUAUCUAUGGAACAAACCAAUAUAAUAGCACUAAAAAAUUAUGUAAAAGAAAACUUAUUAAUAGAAAAAAAUAUAUUCUAUAAAAAUAAAUUACUCAGUAGGGCAGAAACUGCUGGAACCCCUGGACUCCUUUACUUUCAUAAAAACAAAAAAAACAAAAAAACAAAUAGACUCCACAUAUAAUGUAAUAUGUUGUUGUACAAGUUGUAAUGUUGUACAAAUUAUAAUUUGUACAAAAAUUUUGUACAAGUUAUCAGUGUUUUAUGACCUGCUGAACAUAAAUGGAUGAUGCAAGCACACAGUCUUUUGCUACGCAUAUUUCUGUCAAUUUUUCACAACUUCAUGAUACAGUCUAAUACUGAGCAUUGAUACAAAAACAUUAUGAGAUCUCACAAAGAUUUUGUAUAGAUAUGAAUAUGGUAUAAGGAACAAAAUAAAAUUAGAAUUUAAACCAUUCCGGGUCCCUCAUUUCCAGUUUGAAGGCAAGGAGAAUAGCACUAAAUGUUAGGUUGACGUAUAUUUUUUUGAAUUUAAAACAUUACACUGGUACAUUUCAUAAGUUAAACCUGUAUCACCUGUUGAAAGAAGGUAGGUGUCAAAAUCUUAUAACUUGUACAAAAACCCUGUACAAAUUAUAAUUUGUACAAACUUACAUCUUGUACACAACAUAUAUAUAUUUCAUAUCCAAACAACCUAUGUCUUAAACUCAUUUUUCUGCAAUGUAUCAAACAGCUGUGUCUAUCAAAUAUAUUAUAUAUCUUCUGUUUAGUGUAUAUAACUAUUAUGCAUACAAGUGUAUAUAACUCAUUAUGUUCAUGUGCAAAUAAGAAAAAAAUGAAAUUUAAUAUAAAAAACUUUAUAUAUAUAUCUUUUCAAAACCUGUGCAUUUGUUAUACUUGAUUAUUAUUGUAGGUAUAUUACUAACAAAAACUAACAACUGUAUGAAUAUGUUUUCUUACUAAUAUUAACGAGGCCGGGAUAAGGUACCGGUACUUGAUGUUUUAAACUAACAUAUGUACAGAUUUCAAUAAAAUAUGAUAAAUUUAAAAAAAAAAAAAAAAAUUAAAAAAAAAAAGUACUAAUUGUGACGUCAUAAAUGAAAAGCAGGAACGUAAAUUUUCAACAAAAGGGCUUAUUUCCUAUCUAGUCACUGUAUUAGCUAUGAUUCAUUGUGAUAUUGGUCAAUGAAUCCUAAUUUGAAAUUUAAGCUAAAAAAGGGGGCCAUUUUAGGACCUUACCGAACCUACUCCUUUGAUGUAUGCCUUUUUGUGCUUCUUUGUUACAUUUGUUUGUUUUUAUAGUGAUUAAGAUGAUAACGCAAUGUUGACUGCUAUACCCCUACUUUUGACAUUUUUACCGAUUGUGUCUGUUUGUUUUGUCCACGAAUCGUUGUCAAUAUGAUGGAAUUUGAUGCGACUGUCAUACAAGUGAGAGGUUUAGCUAGCUAUAAAACCAGGUUCAAUCUACCAUUUUCUACAGAAGAAAAUGCCUGUUCCAAGUUAGGAAUAUGACAGUUUUAAUCCAUUCGUUUGAUGUGUUUGAGGUUUUGAUUUUGUCAUUUGAUUAGGACUUUCCUAUUUGAAUUUUCCUUGGAGUUCAGUAUUUUUGUGAUUAUACUUUUUGAUAAUUAUCUGUAAAACAAUGUACAAGUUAGAGCAAUAAUAAUGCAAUUUUCCAAAUAAUCAAUAUUUCUAAAUUUCAAUUGAAGGUACAAAAAUACGAUAUGUAAAUCUUACACUCAACGGAGAAGUAAAGUAUGCAUGAAUGCAAUAUAAAACUAGUAUCUCAAUUGUUUGUAAAACAAUUGAAAGGUCUUUCCUGUAAAAGUGAUGUUUUCGUAAUGUUCUUUGUACGACCUUUCGUUUGAUAUACGACAAGCAUACCUUCUGAAACUUUUCGCUUUUUACACUUAAUGACCUCAUCCGCCUACAUUUUUGAGAUCGGAAGUAUGAUAUAUGUAACACAGGGUAGAUGAGCUUUCAUUUGAUAUGCGACAACGCCAUGUUCUAAAAAGUUUGAUUUUUGCACUUAAUAACCCCAUCCAACCAAUUUUUGGAGGUUGGGAAUUUGAUAUUUCAAAUGUACACAUCAUGACCUUUCAUUUGAUAUACAACAACCCUAUCGUAAAAGAAAUUUAUUUUUUGCACUCAAUGACCCCAUCCAACCAAUUUUUUGGGGACGUCAAUUUGAAAUUUGAAAUGUACGCUUUAUGUUCUUUCAUUUGAUAUGCGACAACCUUACCAUCUGAGAAAUUUGAAUUUUUGCACUAAAUGACCCCACCCUUCCACCUGGGAUGAAAAAGAGGUUUAAAAUUUUCAUUUUUAAGUAGAGUUUAUUGAGACCUUCAAUUUGAUAUAUCAGAUGACCCCAUUUGACAAAGUGCCAAAAAUGAUGCAAUAUCAACGAUAUAAAUAGAAGUUAUGAAACUUACAAAGUCAAUGCAAAACAUGAAAAUUUCAAAAUGAUUUUUUUGGUGUUUUUUUUCAAUGGAAUGUUUUUGGUAUUUGGUCAAACAUAUAACUAUGUUAACCUCUUCAAUUUCCUAAACAUUUUAAGUGGUAAGCUGUUGUUGAUUCAGAAAUACAUGCCGCCGCUCGCAAAAUUUCAAACUGCAUUAUCUCUAAAACGACAAUAGAUAUCUCAAAUCUGUUAAAUGGUAAAUGAUCUACAGUUAAAGGACAACAUUAUAGAAAAAGAAUUGGGACAAUUUCAAAGUUCACCAAGGUCACAAUUAAUCAUCAAAUAUAUGAUGCAAUACCAAACUUGAGAACCGGAAGUCGUAGAGACAUGGGACUACCACCAUUCAACUCAGGACCACUUGACCUUUCAAAUAUCACAAGGUCAAGGUCAUAGUAUAACUGUGAAGGUCAAGGUGAAAUUUCAUCAUGACCUGACAUUGACCUCAAAUUGACGGUCUUGAAUUACUGAUCAUCUUUGCAGUUUAUAGUAGGUUGAUAUCUGUUACCUUUAAAAAGAUAUACACACAAUACUAUACUUUUAAGAAUCAUCCCGUUGUAACUUUUGAACAGACAGUCGGACAUUUUUGGACUUAUCAUAUAAAAUGUAGAGCUCGUCGAGAGGAACAUUUUAUACGCUGUAUGUAUGCAGCAAAGUCUUAUCGUUUUCCUAAUAUGUAAGCUUGAAAUUGCAGCGUAAAUUUUUUUUGCACUCAGUGACCUUUGACCUUGACUGCAUAUUAAAGGUCACAUGAAUUAAAGAUUAUUGGUGAAGGUCCCAAGUCUCUACGACUUCUGGUUCUCGAAAUACAAUUUUUCUAAAAUUAUGUACAAUUUUUCAAGGGGAAUAACUCCUUAUAAGGGUUAAUAACAAAAUGAUUGUACAUGUUCAUUAACAUUGCCAUCUGUUCCUGUACAUGUUGCCGUUUUCAAAUCGAUUCUAUCUUUUAUACUUUUUGAGAAAAAUGCAAAGGAAAAUAAAUUGUUUCAAGGGGAUAUAACUCUCAUAGGGGACGAUGAAAUCCUAUUCAGCCUCACAUGGUAAUACAUCAUGAUGAGAUCUACAUUAUGUCCAAUUAAGGUCAUGAUAUCUUUAAAACCAACGAGGGGGAGGGGGCCAUGUUGAAAAAACUCAAUAAAAGAGAGAUAACUCCUAAAGGGGAUGAUGAAAUCCUUAACAGGGUCAUUUGGUAAUACAUCUUGGUGAGGUCUAGCGAUGGUCCAUAUUUGGUC
rnacentral:lncRNA from 1 species